GAUGAACGCUAGCGACAGGCCUAACACAUGCAAGUCGAGGGGCAGCACAUGAGUAGCAAUACGAUGGUGGCGACCGGCGCACGGGUGAGUAACACGUAUGCAACCUGCCUGUAAGAGGGGAAUAACCCGGAGAAAUUCGGACUAAUACCGCAUAAUACCACGAGACUGCAUGGUUUUGUGGUUAAACAUUUAUGGCUUACAGAUGGGCAUGCGUAUGAUUAGAUAGUUGGUAGGGUAACGGCCUACCAAGUCUACGAUCAUUAGGGGUUCUGAGAGGAAGGUCCCCCACACUGGUACUGAGACACGGACCAGACUCCUACGGGAGGCAGCAGUGAGGAAUAUUGGUCAAUGGGCGAGAGCCUGAACCAGCCAAGUCGCGUGAAGGAAGAAGGUUCUAUGGAUUGUAAACUUCUUUUGCAGGGGAAUAAAGGACGGUACGUGUACUGUUUUGUAUGUACCUUGCGAAUAAGGAUCGGCUAACUCGUGCCAGCAGCCGCGGUAA
rnacentral:rRNA from 1 species